GAAAAAGUAAAAAGCUCUCUCUGCCCACGUAACGUUCACAUCCACAGAGAGAGACUAGUAGACCUGUGAGCGUCUCUCUCUCUCUCUCUCUCUCUCUCUUUCUGCAAUCUGAAAAUAUAAGUACGAAAGGCUCUCUCUUUCUCUCUCAUACACUUCACACCUUAGCUAAAAUUUCACAGACUGUGAUUGCACACAAUGCCAAUGGCUGCUGAUUCGGCCAAUGAGGGGGGACAAAACAACCGGGGCAUCCAGGAUGGUAUUUGCAGCUUACCUGUCAGCUGUUCAUGUUUCAAGCUACUAAAUCAAAGUUUUGAUGAGGUCAACCAGCACUGUUCUAUAGAUAUUUUGCCAAUUCUGCUUGAGGGGGCUUCAUUUCCAGCAAGACUAAGUUGCCCACUGCACAAUUCACAUGGCCAAGAUGUCUACAGCAUUUCAGUGCUGUCUGGUGAAGGGAAGAGUCCACAAUGUGCUUCAGAGUUGGCAUUUCUAAGCUUUUUGGAAGUUGCUAAUCUAUCUAAAAAUCAGAUGUGCUUGGAUGCACAAUUGAAUUGCCAAAAUUGCAUUGAUUUGCCAGUGAAAAGUGCUGAUCCUCUUUCCCCAUGCAUUGUCGAUUUAAAUAUUGAAAAGGAAUAUUCAAAAACACCUGAAUCCAAUGAUGAAGCUGUUGAAAGUUUGAAAAGUGAAGGUGCACUAACUCAUUUGCAGAGGGUGUUGUGGAGACAAGCAAGCCAUACAAUAGGUGGAAAACUAAUGCAGCUUUUCAUGAAUGUUGGCACUUCAAGAGAUAAAUCAGUGAGUGAAAGGGCCCAUGAUACUGCAAAUAAUCGAUGGAGAAGAUAUAAGCGUUCUACCUCAUUUGAUUCAAGAAAGAUCGUUCUCCUAUUUUCAAUCAUGUAAGCUGCAGAUCCUCAACGAAUUGAUGAUAGUGACAGUAGGGAAAGUACUGCUUUCCAAUGAUAUAUGCUUUAUAUCCAUGCUCUGGUUUGAGCCUCCAUCAUUUCAUAUUGACAUAAUUAUGAACUCUGAAUGUUCCAGAAUAAUUAUCAUGAUACAUUUUCAACUUAGAACUUGUUGGAAAUGCUUGCUUUAGAAUUAGGAGGACCCAGACAUAAUUUGCUGUAUGAUAUUAAUGAUCAAGGUGGGAAAAGCAUGUGAAUGGGUUGUUGGCUUGGUGUCAAUUAUAAUUAUAGGAUUUUACUCCACUAAACACUUGGGAUUUAAAGCAUACAAAACGGCUUUUCAUUUAAGAUUUUAGACUACAUGCCGGUAUCGCUGGCAUUCUCACUAGAGGGCCCUGCAGUUUCAAGUUUCAAGCCCUUCACCCAGCCACACAUUCCAUAUUAACCAAACAGGUAAAGGAGGUGUUCUUUGCACAGAUGGGUUUAUUUGCUUGAUGGGGAGCACUUUUUACUGAACUUAAUACCAGCUGCUGGCAAGGUCAAGUUUGGGAACAUUGGUGCUGAUAUAUCUGACAUUGAAAGUUAGGCAGAGUGGUGAUAAUUAUGUUCAUGUCUGAUUGUUCAACCUGCUUUUGUGUAGUUCUCUUCAGAACUACAGUUGAAGAUCUCUUGCCCACAAUGUUAACAUGAAACUGUUUUUGGAUGUCCUCUGUACAUAAGUAGUAACUAUCACUCACAAUUCUCUAUCAUUCACAAUUCUACUAAAUUUUCUGUAAUAUGCAACUAUCACAGCUUAUCUCAGUGUUCAUAUUUCAGCAAUAAGGGCACCGUGCUAUGCAUAUCUGAUGGGGAAUUAUUAUGUCAAUGAACUAGUAUGCAACAACUAGCAUGCCA